rnacentral:rRNA from 1 species
CCUACGGGAGGCUGCAGUGAGGAAUAUUGGUCAAUGGGCGCAAGCCUGAACCAGCCAAGUCGCGUGAGGGAUGACGGUCCUAUGGAUUGUAAACCUCUUUUGUCGGGGAGCAAGGCCCGCCACGUGUGGCGGGAAGGAGAGUACCCGAAGAAAAAGCAUCGGCUAACUCCGUGCCAGCAGCCGCGGUAAUACGGAUGAUGCGAGCGUUAUCCGGAUUUAUUGGGUUUAAAGGGUGCGUAGGCGGAAGGUUAAGUCAGCGGUAAAAUGUCGGUGCUCAACACCGGCCGGCCGUUGAAACUGGUCUUCUUGAGUGAGCGAGAGGGAUGCGGAAUGAGUGGUGUAGCGGUGAAAUGCAUAGAUAUCACGCAGAACUCCGAUUGCGAAGGCAGCAUACCGGCGCUCAACUGACGCUGAGGCACGAAAGCGUGGGGAUCGAACAGGAUUAGAUACCCGAGUAGUC